GCCUGGCUGGCUCAGAUGGUAGAGCAUGUGACUCUUCACCUCAGGGCUGUGGGUGUGAGCCCCACUUUGGGCA
rnacentral:tRNA from 1 species